rnacentral:rRNA from 1 species
AGAGUUUGAUCCUGGCUCAGGAUGAACGCUGGCGGCGUGCCUAAUACAUGCAAGUCGAGCGAGAAUCUGCGGAUCUGCGAUUCGUCAAAGAGAAGCGGAGGAAAGCGGCGGACGGGUGAGUAACGCGUAGGCAACCUGCCCUUAGCAGAGGGAUAGCCAUUGGAAACGAUGAUUAAAACCUCAUAACGCUGCAGUUACACAUGUAGCUGCAGCCAAAGAUUUAUCGGCUAGGGAUGGGCCUGCGUCUGAUUAACUAGUUGGUGAGGUAACGGCCCACCAAGGUGACGAUCAGUAGCCGACCUGAGAGGGUGAUUGGCCACAUUGGAACUGAGACACGGUCCAAACUUCUACGGAAGGCAGCAGUAAGGAAUCUUGCACAAUGGGGGAAACCCUGAUGCAGCAACGCCGCGUGAACGAUGAAGGCCUUAGGGUUGUAAAGUUCUGAUCUGGGGGAAGAAGAAAGUGACGGUACCCCAGGAGAAAGCCCCGGCUAAAUACGUGCCAGCAGCCGCGGUAAUACGUAUGGGGCAAGCGUUAUCCGGAAUUAUUGGGCGUAAAGAGUGCGUAGGUGGUUACCUAAGCGCAAGGUUUAAUCUUGAGGCUCAACCUCAUUCUGCCUUGCGAACUGGGCUACUUGAGUGCUGGAGGGGAAAGCGGAAUUCCCAGUGUAGCGGUGAAAUGCGUAGAUAUUGGGAAGAACACCGGUGGCGAAGCGGCUUUCUGGACAGUAACUGACACUGAGGCACGAAAGCGUGGGGGAGCAAACAGGAUUAGAUACCCUGGUAGUCCACGCCGUAAACGAUGAGCACUAGUUGUUGGGUACGAAUGUAUUCAGUGACGCAGUUAACGCAAUAAGUGCUCCGCCUGGGGAGUACGGUGGCAACACUAAAACUC